AUUGAACGCUGGCGGCAUGCCUUACACAUGCAAGUCGAACGGUAACAGGUUAAGCUGACGAGUGGCGAACGGGUGAGUAAUGUAUCGGAACGUGCCCAGUCGUGGGAGAUAACUGCUCGAAAGAGCAGCUAAUACCGCAUACGACCUGGGGGUGAAAGCGGGGGAUCGCAAGACCUCGCGCGAUUGGAGCGGCCGAUAUCAGAUUAGGUAGUUGGUGAGGUAAAGGCUCACCAAGCCGACGAUCUGUAGCUGGUCUGAGAGGACGACCAGCCACACUGGGACUGAGACACGGCCCAGACUCCUACGGGAGGCAGCAGUGGGGAAUUUUGGACAAUGGGCGCAAGCCUGAUCCAGCCAUGCCGCGUGCGGGAAGAAGGCCUUCGGGUUGUAAACCGCUUUUGUCAGGGAAGAAAAGGUUCUGGCUAAUACCUGGGACUCAUGACGGUACCUGAAGAAUAAGCACCGGCUAACUACGUG
rnacentral:rRNA from 1 species